rnacentral:lncRNA from 1 species
GAGGAUUUGAGGGGACAACAUUCUAAAUUGAAUUUAUUAUUAUUUAAAAAAGAAAUUGUCCCAUAAAUAAGCUCCAUUUUUAAUAUGUUUAAAUUUUAUAUUUGAUUUGCUGAAGAAGAAGCUUCUGAAACAAGGUUGGUACUUCAUUUAAACCUCUCCUGAACCAUGAACGAGCAACAUCUGGUCAAUAACAUUGUUUCUCUAGUGAUUUUCCUCCUCUUUUAACCUAACAAUUCUUUCUCUCUCUUUUUUUCCCCCCCCGCCGUUGUUCUCAUGUCGUUUCCUCUUUCAUAGCUCCAGUCUGGAACCUGAUAAGCGGCAUGAACAGAAAGAGGAAUGAGUGAGGAAAACACUUUGCUCUUUCUGGAGACCCUGAGCUUCGGUCACAGUGUUAUAUGAACCUUGUGAUAUAGGCUUCAGCGUCCUUUAUGUGCGGUUCUCGCGGGAAGGCCCCAGAACAGAGGAGCUUUGUGGGACAGGAGGCAGUCAGGGCAGACGAUUUACAUGUUGGCCGGAGGACGAGGAAUGUUGGCGAGAGCCACGAAAACCAGUUUUGCACAUCGACCCACAACAAUGACAUUGGAUUAAAAUGGCAUUCGCAGAAUUCGAGGUGUGUUGAAACCACGCGAGCUGCCAAACUUCUGAAUUAAUGAUGUACUUCAUUACUAAAAUAUAUUUGUGUGUUAUUCUAACUGAAUGCUUGUACAUUCACUCUAUUACAUGUUGAUGGAAAUAACGUGUCUCGAAUGCCAUUUACACUUUCAGGAUAAACACUUUUUUACGCUUCCAAUCAUUACUUCACUUUUGCCGGCAGUGAAAUCCAUCUGAGUGUAAAAUGUGAUGAUCGUUUGUCUUUGUUAAAGUCUCAUUCUUCACUCAACGCAGUCUUUGACGGCAUUUUAUCAAGAAACUCGACUCUAAUGUACAUUCAGUCUAUCAGCAGCUUGCUGAUGAAUUUCAGUGCUGAAGUUCAGGCAUUUCAAGCAACAGGUUUCAUUAUACUAGAUUCAGCAUUGAGAAACAUUUGGCUUAUUGUGUUGUCGAUUUUUAGACUGUGUGAAACGCUGGUUAAACAUUUGAUUUCUCGAGAUGUUGUGACUGUUUUUCAUUUAGGGUCUUGAACUUGUUUUGGAAAGGCUGUACAUAUUUUGAUUGUUAUUGACCCCCAUUGGUUUCCAUGCAAUUCGCGAGAAAUCAACACUUUGAAAAAAUCUAAUUUUUUAAAAAAAUUUAUUGAAGCUUGUCAAAAACUAAAUAUUGAAGACAAGAGAACUUAUGAAAUUUAAGACUCAGAGUUUCAGAAUUAAAGGCCGUCUUCUGAUUCAUCCUGGGAGAAUUCGCUGUUUCUUCAU